rnacentral:rRNA from 1 species
GAUGAACGCUGACAGAAUGCUUAACACAUGCAAGUCUUUGGCGAAGCUGUGCUUGCACAGCCUAGCCAAGGCGGACGGGUGAGUAACGCGUAAGGAACUUGCCCUGCAGUCAGGGAUAACAGACGGAAACGACUGAUAAGACCUGGUAAAGUCAGGCGGACUCAUGUCCAGCCUGAUGAAAAGAGAUGCUGCAGGAGAGCCUUGCGUCCUAUUAGCUUGUUGGUGGGGUAACGGCCCACCAAGGCGAUGAUAGGUAGCCGGCCUGAGAGGGUGGACGGCCACAAGGGGACUGGGAUGCGGCCCUUACUCCUACGGGAGGCAGCAGUGGGGAAUAUUGGACAAUGGGGGCAACCCUGAUCCAGCAAUUCUGUGUGCACGAUGAAGGUUUUCGGAUUGUAAAGUGCUUUCAGCAGGGAAGAAAAAAAUGACGGUACCUGCAGAAGAAGCGACGGCUAAAUACGUG